AAACCAACUUCCGCGCAUCUCAGACUACAUGGCGAAAAUGAAAAUAAGCCUAACGGAAGCGAGAUCCUACCUGCGAGGAGGAGAAGUUCCUCAGUGAGCGUUGAAUCCGAAGUUAUGGACGAAGGUGAACAAUCUGCACGAAGAUCCUCAAGUACCUCUUCAAUUCUUUUCUCCUUCUUCUAGUGCGACGCUUUUGUUCUUCUUCAACUUCUUCUUCUUCCUAUUGAUUUUCCUGCUACCGUUUUCGCGUUCUUGUCGUGUCGCUCUGUAAGGAAGAGUGGGAGUGUUGAGGUCGAAGCUCCACUGAUUAGAGCUUCUGAUGUUGAAGCUCUAACAGUGAUUGGUGAUUCUGAGCGUAUAGUGAAGUUUGAGAGGAUGGAGAGUGUGAGCAAUUCCAGAAGAAAAAAAGUGGGAAAUCCCCAAAAAUGAAAUGUGAGGCUCUGAAUUUAUAGGGUGCAGGUUCGGAUCGAAUGGAGGAUUGGAGUUAGACUAGGAGUUUGUUAUUUUGGUCAGGAGUUAGGCUAGGGUGGGAUGACUAGGAUUAAAGUUAGUUAGUUUCAACUCACUGAGUUAAGUCUUUUAGCUUAGUUAAUUAUUAAUAACUAAGUCUACUGGUUGUGAAGUGUGAGUUAGGGUUACCUAGCUUUGAAAGUUUGUUUUGUUUGUUGUACUGUUGAAAGGAUUAGUUAAAUGGAAAUCUAGUCAUUGAUUUGGCCAGGGUAAAGAAAUUUAAGGGGACGUAUGAUUGGGAUGGAAAGGUGGGUUACUGUUAUGCAAUUAUUUACAUUCAUUCUUUCUUUUUUCUCAUGCAGAUGGAACUUCAUUGAGUUGCUGUUAGGAGACGCACAGGAAUCUUAUCUGCGAAUUCGGAGUUGAGUUACGGCAUCCGGUUUUGCCUUGGCUGGUGUCUUGCCUUGCGUUUCUCGCUUUCCUUUCUGUUCAUUCCCGUCAAUAAAACAAGGGAUUGAUAGUAAGCAGUAACUGCAUAAAAUGGCACGGAUAUCAGCUGUAGCGCCGACAAUAGGACACGAUCCGGAGCCCGGGAUUCCGGAGAUUUAAAAGCAGCAACAACAUAUAAUGGCACGGUAUAGACAAUCUUGAAGACAACCUUGCAAGUGGCUGUUCUAGCUAUCCCUUUCAAGGGAGGAUAAAUGUUGUUUUGGUUGGGUGUGUUUACUCUGUUACGGUUAAGGCCCGCGUGUGACUGUGUAGCAUAAGAUGUGUUUGGAAAUAUGUUGAUGGUAGCACACUUUGCUUGGUAUGCCAUGCUAUGGUUUAUUGAAAUAUUACUGCUGUCGUGACUUGUUUGUGAAUGUAGUGAACCUGAUUAUAUUGCUAAGUAUGUUAUGAACCCGAAUGGUUAAAUGAUAACCUAUUAGAAUUAUCGAAAAAGAGUUAGUGAUGGUUGGUACAUUUGCAGUUAAUUGAGAUGUGGAGUUAAUCUUCUGUUUUCGGGUGUGAAAUAGAUUAGUUAUGCCAGGAAAAAUGAUGCAGAUUGGAAACUCAUUAUGCAGGUGAAUUUGUUUUGCAAGAUUUGAGUUGCCGGAGCUUGACCUGAUGGUGAAACGGGCUUGGCGAUUUGGCUUCGCGCAACGGAUUACUAAGGUAGCAAUUGAUUCUUCCUUGGCUUGCUUUGGCUUAGUGUAUUAUUUUGAUAGUAGAUUUGUGGUUCAAUGCUGCAGAAUCAUGGUAUUGCAGCUUGGUUUCGGGUCUGCGAAUUGGUCGUGGUGUAGUUUUCUCUUGUUCUCUUACAGGUCCAAUGACUGGUAUGCUUAACCCAUGGUGCAGCAGGCUUGACGCUUGAAAUCGGGCAUGGGCAGUUCGAAGUUAGGGAAGGUUAUGGAUCAGAUAGCUUGCAGGAAAUGGUGGUUAGGCCGAUGAAAUCAGUUGGUUGACCGCCAGUAGACGUGAACAAAGGUGGCGGUUGCUGAUACUGCAGAGUAUGCCGCGGGUCUGCAUAAUUGACGGGUGAUGUCAUUGUCAAUGCAGAAGGUGUCAAUGAAGUGACAUCGGUUGGGAAAGUUGUGAAGCUGCCCGUAGCCGGAGUUGCUCAUGAAAAGCCCAGAACUUAUUGUAUUCACGCUGCAUCAGGUAGUAUGCGUUUGGCUUUUUAUUUCCGUUAAUUAUAAAACGUUAGAUUGCUUUUCUGUGAAAUGAAUGUGCGUUACAUUUAAUGAAUUGAUUUGUUAGGGGAGAUUGUGAUUAAUUUUGGUGACGAGUCCCGUUGAAUCGGUAGCGGCAGG
rnacentral:lncRNA from 1 species